rnacentral:lncRNA from 1 species
AUAUGGCACACAAUGACCUAUACUUGAAAAAUAUUGUUGUCCUUGGUAAUAACAUAUCAUUUGGUCACGAACAGGUUUAAGGACUAAAUGAUAAAUCCUCCUUUGUCCAGUCUAAAUAGUCCUAAGGACUUCACCAUAAUAUAGGAGUUCAUUAGAAGAUGAAACAAUUUGUGAUGAAAAAUAUCAAAAUAACUUUUAUUUAUUUAUAAUUCAUA